AUCGCUUCUCGGCCUUUUGGCUAAGAUCAAGUGUAGUAUCCCAGCAGUGAAUAAGAGUUCCAUUGCUCUACAACCUCACCAGCAUUUGGUAUUCAGGUUUUUGGACUUUAGCCAUGGCUAAUAGGCAUUGUAGUGACAUCUCAUAACUUUUUUAAUUUGUCUUCCCUAAUGCUUGUGAACAUCUC